GUCUGACAUUGAGUGCCUGGAGCCCUCCCUAGCUCUCCAGCUGGAACCUUCCUCUGUAGGAAGGCUGAGGCUAGCAGGGAGAAGCCAGGAUGGAUUUUAAAGAGCCUUGUUGUCUCUAAGGAAGAGUGGAGCUUACAUCUUUGGGUUUGCAGAAAUGCCCACAUUCAACUCAGGGGGAAUAAAAGGAUGGGAGUUAGAAUUUCAACUUGCAGUUGCAGAAUCUCAGAGUUAAAAGAAACCUCAGAGGUCAUCUCUUCCAACCCUUCUCCAGAGCAGCUUUAAUUGCCUGUGUGGGAGAUUCAGGGCCAGCAGCUGCAGCUUCCCUUUCCCUGCCUCUGACUUGCCAGAAUCCUGUUACACCUGGGAUUUAGGCACUUUCAAUCUGAAAAAAUACAUAUCCUUUCAGCACUCUGGACGGACUUGAGAACUGUCCUUACGUGACCUAAAGCUGGAGUAUUUUGAGAUUGGAGAAUUAAGAGCCAGUCUUGGUGCUCUGUGUUCACCUGGUUCAUCUGAGGAGCUGCAUCUACCCUGCCCAUGCCAUAGAUCCUGCCCUGUUUGCUUCUCCUGUUGCUGCUAGUGGACAUGAGGUAACCACAGCCUAGUUCUGUGAUAAGCUCUUCACACCUGUACCCAUAUGGACUGUGGGAGAGUUUCUCUGAUAUGGACUGUGAUGCGGAAGGACAGAAUAACGGGCUCCCAGAUUCACAAGCCCCACCAAGAGGAUCACCCCAGGAACGCUUGGAGGCUGAGGAGUUCACUGAGGCUACUGCAUCUUGAGACUCAGGAUGAAGACCCAGCUUGGGGCUGUCAAAGGUUUUUUGCAUGUCUGACACCCAUGACUCCACCUGGACCUUAUGGCUCCACCCAGAAGCAAUUCAGCCCAACAGGAGGACAGCUUCAACCCAUUACGAUUUCAUCUCUGCCCCAACCACUCAGCAGCAAGCACCUGUUACCUGUCCACCCCCACCCCUUCCCCCAAACUGCCUUUGAAAAAUCCCUAACCUAUGAGCUUUGAAUAAGAUGAGUACGAACUUCAUCGCCCACGUGGCGUGGCCGGCCUCGUGUCUAUUAAAUUCUUUUUCUACUACAA
rnacentral:lncRNA from 1 species